UACGUAGGUGGCAAGCGUUGUCCGGAAUUAUUGGGCGUAAAGCGCGCGCAGGCGGUCCUUUUAAGUCUGAUGUGAAAAGCCCCACGGCUCAACCGUGGAGGGUCAUUGGAAACUGGGGGGACUUGAGUACAGAAGAGAAGAGUGGAAUUCCACGUGUAGCGGUGAAAUGCGUAGAGAUGUGGAGGAACACCAGUGGCGAAGGCGACUCUUUGGUCUGUAACUGACGCUGAGGCGCGAAAAGCGUGGGGGAGCAAACAGG
rnacentral:rRNA from 1 species